UACAGAGGUGGCUAGCGUUGUUCGGAUUUAUUGGGCGUAAAGGGUCUGUAGGCGGUCCGGAAAGUCGGAUGUGAAAUCCCACAGCUUAACUGUGGAACUGCAUUCGAAACUUCCGAACUAGAGUGUGAGAGGGGUAAAGGGAAUUCCCGGUGUAAGGGUGAAAUCUGCAGAGAUCGGGAGGAACACCAGUCGCGAAGGCGCUUUACUGGCUCACUACUGACGCUGAGGGACGAAAGCUAGGGGAGCAAACGGG
rnacentral:rRNA from 1 species